UACGUAGGGUGCGAACGUUAUUCGGAAUCACUGGGCUUAAAGCGCGUGUAGGCGGGAGGGCACGUCCGUCGCUGAAAUCCCCCGGCUCAACCGGGGAACGGGCACGGAUACGACCUUCCUGGAGGGGCGUAGGGGGACCUGGAACUUCCGGUGGAGCGGUGAAAUGCGUUGAGAUCGGAAGGAACGCCCGUGGCGAAAGCGAGGUCCUGGACGCCUACUGACGCUGAGACGCGAAAGCCAGGGGAGCGAACGGG
rnacentral:rRNA from 1 species